GACCCGAACCUGGGUGAUCUAUCCAUGACCAGGAUGAAGCUUGGAUGAAACUAAGCAGAGGUCCGAACCGACUGAUGUUGAAGAAUCAGCGGAUGAGUUGUGGUUAGGGGUGAAAUGCCACUCGAACCCAGAGCUAGCUGG
rnacentral:rRNA from 1 species